AACACACCUGAAUCACAUGAUUAACUCAUUGGAGAACUUCAAGACAUGUUGAGAAGGUCAGGAAUAGUUUAAACUAAGAUUGAGAAAUUAAAUUGGGUGAAAGGGGGUGUAGCUUCAGGGCAGUUCACAGCCUGGCGUAAACGCAAGGUGCCGUCACACAGCUUAAGUUAUUUGUUUGAUUUAUUUUAUGACAAAAUAAUAAGGAAACAUUGAAAACAUACAACCCGUUGAGGAGACAGAUAGGGUUGGGGAAUUGAAAGGGUUGGUUUGUUUAGCAUAAUGCACUACAAAGUAUACAAAGACACAUUGCAUAACUGUGCUAGUUUAGAGUUGAUGUUCUAUCCAAGAGGGUUUUAAGCUUCACUGGUGAGAGUGUCCAGGUGAUACAUGUUGAGGGAAGAUGAGAACAUAGCAGGUUAAUUGCAUGCACGCUUACAAACACACAUGAUUUAUAUAUAGGCCAGGCCGAAGGCCUGGACUUUAUGUAGCUUUUAACUUUACAGCUCCUAAUUUGCAGGAAUGGCGGGGAGUGUAAUGAAUGAAUGCAAAACAUGCUUACAGACACAAACAUGACAGGGGUUUAUUUUACAGGGUAAAGGUGGACCACAGGUUGCUUUGUUUCUGCUUAGCAACUACUGAGGUAAAUGGUGUUAAAGAUAAAUAUGCAAUAAGUGAACAGGAAAUGUGUAAGGGUGAGCCGGGUGAAACAAAAUGUUGUAGAUAAUGGAAACUUGUCUAACGGGCAUUAACAGUAACCUUUGCAUGUUAUGUAUAUGCUUGAGGCCAAAAGAGGCGUAAAUCCAGAUAGAAAAUUUUGAAGUGUGCUUUUUAGCGGAGAGUCAGGCUGACAUGGGGAUGGUGUGUAUUUUACUUGGGUUGUGUUUAAUAAAACUAAAAGCGUUGCUCACACACAUAAAGAGUAUUGAGAUUGAAUAAAGUUAAUAUAAUGGAUAGAGCCCAGAACAUGAUAAUACAUGAGUGAAAUCAAAUGCAAUGUAUGAUUUCACUUUUAUUGGGAAAUAAUCAGGCUAGAAAUGUGAGUAACCUAUGUUUAAACUGUGAAAACACUCUCCACAUACAUUGAAACUGCGCAACUCUGAGUGGGCAAUGUAAUGAAGUAAUUGUUACAUAUUUGUAUUAAACUAGCCAACAUAGACUCACCACAAAAUGAUGUAGGAUGUUGCCCUGCAGCGGGGGCAGAAAAUCAUUUGCAAACCAGGGAUCUUAUGUUGAUUAUCAUAUCCUUACUUAUGUACACACACACACACACACAGAAGGGAAAAAUUUCAAAACAAAACAAAAAAAAAACAACUUCCCUUAUCCUGUCAAGCACAGGAGAAAUAAAAAUCUCUUUGGGCUCUGUUAAAAUUUCUUUAGUAAAAGUGUAAAAGGCCAAACCUAGGAAGUUUGGCAAACAGGAAAGUUCCUUGAGUAUCAGGAGUUAAUAGUCAGGAAACAUUUCUCACAUUAACGCCUUAUAUCUGACAAACCACUGACUCAUAGAUGCAGAUAGACACACAAGUGCACAUACAUCCAGAUGUGCAUUUAGACAUUAAAAGUGUAGAGACAUGUACACACAGAUUGGCAAACCGGUACAGAGUCUAGCUGAAGAGCUUAACAAAGCAGACGUGGCAGUAGGGUUUGUGAUUUUGCCUGAUAUGAUAUUGGGAACCAACUUUGAAUAAUGACAGGAACCUGAGAUGAACACAGUAAGUUAGUAAGGUAUAGCAGAGAGAGGCUGUUUGUUUUCUAUCCCUUACAGGAGAAGAUUUCCACUAGAGAGGGACCCAGAAAAGGAGCAGAGACCACUUAAGCAUGAAGUGUUUUCAAGUGGGAGCUGGUGUUUUAUUGCUGGACCACCUAGAGGACAUGAGGUUGUUGUCGGAUUUGCUGAGUCAGGGGGCGGCUAGAGAGGGUCAGAGCGAAGGUAGUGGACCUGGGAAUGGUGUAGUGACGUCUUUGGAAGACGUCAAGAGAGGGAAUUGUGGAAUUACAGGGAUUAUUUUACAUAACCAUCAUCUUAUCAUUGCAGUAAUUAUCAUUUCAUCAAAGUGUUUAUUGAAGCUGCUGGCAUUAUGUUAUAAUUUAUAUUAUAGGGGUUAUCAUAAUCAAAUAUUAACAUGUUUAUUACAGGUGCAGUUAUAACUACUUUAAAAUGAUUGAGUUAAAUAUAUAUGUAUCAUAACUCAUAUGCUGAGUAUAUUGUUACAGUAAAAUAGUAGCUGAGCAAAGGCCUGAAUGUAUUCAGCUUCUUGUGGUAUUUGAGUUUGCUUAGUUACAGGUGACGUAAGGAUGUCCAGCCCAUGGUGACCUCAAAGGCCUUAGGUCAUCACCAUAUUCGGAAGAGUAUGCCACAAGGAGGAACCUCUAUGUUGCAUUUAAUUCUUAAAAUACAUGAAUGUUCUGUACAUGCAAAUUAUGUGUUUGUAAGCGCAAGAAGGG
ensembl:lncRNA